rnacentral:rRNA from 1 species
AGAGUUUGAUCAUGGCUCAGAUUGAACGCUGGCGGCAGGCCUAACACAUGCAAGUCGAGCGGUAGCACAGAGAGCUUGCUCUCGGGUGACGAGCGGCGGACGGGUGAGUAAUGUCUGGGAAACUGCCUGAUGGAGGGGGAUAACUACUGGAAACGGUAGCUAAUACCGCAUAACGUCGCAAGACCAAAGUGGGGGACCUUCGGGCCUCAUGCCAUCAGAUGUGCCCAGAUGGGAUUAGCUAGUAGGUGGGGUAAUGGCUCACCUAGGCGACGAUCCCUAGCUGGUCUGAGAGGAUGACCAGCCACACUGGAACUGAGACACGGUCCAGACUCCUACGGGAGGCAGCAGUGGGGAAUAUUGCACAAUGGGCGCAAGCCUGAUGCAGCCAUGCCGCGUGUGUGAAGAAGGCCUUCGGGUUGUAAAGCACUUUCAGCGGGGAGGAAGGCGAUAAGGUUAAUAACCUUGGCGAUUGACGUUACCCGCAGAAGAAGCACCGGCUAACUCCGUGCCAGCAGCCGCGGUAAUACGGAGGGUGCAAGCGUUAAUCGGAAUUACUGGGCGUAAAGCGCACGCAGGCGGUCUGUCAAGUCGGAUGUGAAAUCCCCGGGCUCAACCUGGGAACUGCAUUCGAAACUGGCAGGCUAGAGUCUUGUAGAGGGGGGUAGAAUUCCAGGUGUAGCGGUGAAAUGCGUAGAGAUCUGGAGGAAUACCGGUGGCGAAGGCGGCCCCCUGGACAAAGACUGACGCUCAGGUGCGAAAGCGUGGGGAGCAAACAGGAUUAGAUACCCUGGUAGUCCACGCCGUAAACGAUGUCGAUUUGGAGGUUGUGCCCUUGAGGCGUGGCUUCCGGAGCUAACGCGUUAAAUCGACCGCCUGGGGAGUACGGCCGCAAGGUUAAAACUCAAAUGAAUUGACGGGGGCCCGCACAAGCGGUGGAGCAUGUGGUUUAAUUCGAUGCAACGCGAAGAACCUUACCUGGUCUUGACAUCCACAGAACUUUCCAGAGAUGGAUUGGUGCCUUCGGGAACUGUGAGACAGGUGCUGCAUGGCUGUCGUCAGCUCGUGUUGUGAAAUGUUGGGUUAAGUCCCGCAACGAGCGCAACCCUUAUCCUUUGUUGCCAGCGGUUAGGCCGGGAACUCAAAGGAGACUGCCAGUGAUAAACUGGAGGAAGGUGGGGAUGACGUCAAGUCAUCAUGGCCCUUACGACCAGGGCUACACACGUGCUACAAUGGCAUAUACAAAGAGAAGCGACCUCGCGAGAGCAAGCGGACCUCAUAAAGUAUGUCGUAGUCCGGAUUGGAGUCUGCAACUCGACUCCAUGAAGUCGGAAUCGCUAGUAAUCGUAGAUCAGAAUGCUACGGUGAAUACGUUCCCGGGCCUUGUACACACCGCCCGUCACACCAUGGGAGUGGGUUGCAAAAGAAGUAGGUAGCUUAACCUUCGGGAGGGCGCUUACCACUUUGUGAUUCAUGACUGGGGUGAAGUCGUAACAAGGUAACCGUAGGGGAACCUGCGGUUGGAUCACCU